rnacentral:rRNA from 1 species
UGGGGAAUCUUGGACAAUGGGCGCAAGCCUGAUCCAGCCAUGCCGCGUGAGUGAAGAAGGUCUUCGGAUUGUAAAGCUCUUUUACCAGGGACGAUAAUGACGGUACCUGGAGAAUAAGCCCCGGCAAACUUCGUGCCAGCAGCCGCGGUAAUACGAAGGGGGCUAGCGUUGUUCGGAAUUACUGGGCGUAAAGCGCACGUAGGCGGACUAUUAAGUCAGGGGUGAAAUCCCGGAGCUCAACUCCGGAACUGCCUUUGAUACUGGUAGCCUAGAGAUCGGAAGAGGUUAGUGGAAUUCCCAGUGUAGAGGUGAAAUUCGUAGAUAUUGGGAAGAACACCAGUGGCGAAGGCGGCUAACUGGUCCGAUACUGACGCUGAGGUGCGAAAGCGUGGGGAGCAAACAGGAUUAGAUACCCAGGUAGUCCCUGAGCGGGCUGGCAAGGCGCAU